rnacentral:rRNA from 1 species
AGUGAACGCUGGCGGUAGGCCUAACACAUGCAAGUCGAACGGCAGCACAGUAAGAGCUUGCUCUUACGGGUGGCGAGUGGCGGACGGGUGAGGAAUACAUCGGAAUCUACUUUUUCGUGGGGGAUAACGUAGGGAAACUUACGCUAAUACCGCAUACGACCUACGGGUGAAAGCAGGGGAUCUUCGGACCUUGCGCGAUUGAAUGAGCCGAUGUCGGAUUAGCUAGUUGGCGGGGUAAAGGCCCACCAAGGCGACGAUCCGUAGCUGGUCUGAGAGGAUGAGCGGCAAGACGGGAAUGGAGAGACGGUCCAGACGCCGACGGGAGGAAGAAGUAGGGAAUCGUGCGAAAUGGGCGAAAGCCGGAAGGAGAAACGGCGCGGGAGUGAGGAAGGUAGUCGGAUCGGAGAACUCUGGUAUUAGGGAAGAAAAAAAGCGUAAGUAACUGUGCACAUCUGGACGGGACCUAAUCAGAAAGGAAGGGCUAACUAAGUG